rnacentral:antisense_RNA from 1 species
CGAGUAGCGGUGGCUGAAGAACGAGCAGGAGCUUGAAUUUCAGUUUUCUUAUGAGGAAUUUUCCAGAAAAGAUAUCUUCACUGUGAAAUAAGUAAAUAAAUGCUCACUCAGUACAACAAAAAUAUCUGCUACAUACUUCCUUCUGUAUGAAUACAUGAGACCUACCUUCAUUCAUGUUUCCUCUAUGAAGCUUUCCCUGAGCUCCAAACACAGAGCUGAGACUUCCACCUAAUGUAGAAAGCUAGCACGAGCCGGCGCUGACAGAUGGAAGACUUGAGAUGUUACAAGAUUAUAUAUGGAAACACAAAAGGAGUGGAGUUUCUGGGUCAUAUGGCAAUUCAUUUGAGGAACUGAGAAGCUUAUUCCACAGAGGCUGAACUGUUUUAUAUUCCCACCAGCAAUGUGUAAGGUUCCAGUUUCUCUACAUCAUCACCAACACUUGCUAUUUUCCAUUUCCUUAAUGACAGCCAUCCUAGGGGAUUUGAAGUGGUACCUUAUCGUGGUUUUGAUUGCAUUCUCUAUUGACUAAUGAUAUUGAGCAUCUUUUCAUGUAUUUUUUGGUCAUUUGGUCAUUUUUCUUUUUUAAUUUUAAAAUUUUGAGACAGGCUCUCACUAUGUUGCCCAGGUGGUCUCAAACUCCUGGGUUCCAGCGAUCCUCAUGCCUCAGUCUCCCAAAGGGGUGGGAUUACAGGUGUGAGCCACUUUGCCCAGCCCAUUUGUAUAUCUCCUUUGGAGAAUAUCUAGGUUCUUUUGAAGGUAGCUGCAUAUAAACUAGCCAAAUUAACAGACUGUGGUUUUUAGACGGCUUUCCAUAUCUACGAGAACUAUUUAGUUCUCAAAACUGGGAAAUGUUUCAGAGGCAUCAUUAAUUCAUAAUCUAAAAAUUUAUCUCAGGUUUCCUUUUUUCCCCCAGAUUCUGUAUCCUCCAUAGUCCUAUUCAUGACAUGGGUCGUUCAUCUCUGUAUUCUAAACCCUCAACAAACUGUAGACACUAAUAAAUAUUUAUUGGAUGAA